GAUGAACGCUGGCGGCGUGCCUAAUACAUGCAAGUCGAGCGAACAGACGAGGAGCUUGCUCCUCUGACGUUAGCGGCGGACGGGUGAGUAACACGUGGAUAACCUACCUAUAAGACUGGGAUAACUUCGGGAAACCGGAGCUAAUACCGGAUAAUAUAUUGAACCGCAUGGUUCAAUAGUGAAAGACGGUUUUGCUGUCACUUAUAGAUGGUUCCGCGCCGCAUUAGCUAGUUGGUAAGGUAACGGCUUACCAAGGCAACGAUGCGUAGCCGACCUGAGAGGGGGAUCGGCCACCCGGGAACGGAGACACGGUCCAGACUCCUACGGGAGGCAGCAGUAGGGAAUGGUCCGCAAUGGGCGAAAGCCUGACGGAGCAACGCCGCGUGAGUGAUGAAGGUCUUCGGAUCGUAAAACUCUGUUAUUAGGGAAGAACAAAUGUGUAAGUAACUAUGCACGUCUUGACGGUACCUAAUCAGAAAGCCACGGCUAACUACGUG
rnacentral:rRNA from 1 species